CGAGGCUACAAAAACUGUUAGGCUUCACGUCGCCUGUUCGGGGCAGCGAAGAGACGGCCGCGAAAGUUUUUCCUUCGUGCAGCACUAGCGGCCGCAUCACCUGCGUCCUCCCGGAGCCGUUGGUGGAUGUUCCCGAGGGGUGAUGGCCAACCCUCCCGUUUGUCCUUGAAAUCGGCACUGCACAGACAUUGUUCCGUACCCGGAGCGUGUCUCCUGGUCAAAGCGCGCGGGCUCUUGACGGAAUCAACGGUGGCAUUGCCGCAGGACGUGGAAUCAAAAACGAUAAGACUCAGUCCCGUGUUUCCGAGUGUGGUACGACAAGGUGGACAAUGCGACCACUGGCGAAGACUCCGCGCAUGGAGGGCAAGAAACGUGAAUGGCACACCGAAACCUUAAUCGCCGAACAAACUGGAUAUUCUCCAGCACGCAUCGGAAACGGAACCGCCUCAAGACAACGCGCGUUCGCCGACAAGGGUGCGCCUUCGACUAACGGCGCACCGAGUGCCUGGAAAUAUUCCGAGCAAAAAUACGCGAGGGGUAUGACGGCGAUGCAGCUGUCCGAGAAGCUCCGCGCAGGAGAACCCGAGAUGACGGAAGACGAUUCGAGCAACGAGGAGAUGGAGCUGCUGCGCGCUUGCCGCCGGUGCAAAGGCCCUGGCCCCGGCGGCGAACUGGAGCCUAAACGAGCCGUUGUCACCGUCGGACGGUACAACCUGGACAUAGAAGCUCGACUGCUGGAUGUUUGGACAGUCUUAAACGGCUUUUUCAUGGCACUACUGCUGGUUUUGUUGGUACUUUUUGUGUCGGUUCUCCUAAUGAAGCUUUGUUUUCUUUUAUAUUAGUGCACAAGAGUCGUAGACAAGGUGCCACCUAUUACUGCCAUCUCGUGCGCCGUCAACGAUUUCCUUCCCGUAUAGCGAGUCGCUAUGUAGGCCUGCCCUUCACGAAACCUUGCGUUACCGGCCGAGUCCCUUAUCAAAAUCUGCGCAUGAGGUAUAAGGUGGGGCCUUCGCUUCUCGUACCACGUGUUUUGACGAAUCGUCGCACGGAAACCGUGCCACCGAAGUUACACGCCAUCAAGUAACCGACGCCAUCGCAACUGGAGUUAUAUCUUUAAGGCCUUGUUUACGGCAGCGCCAGGCACCGAAUAUGGCUGUACCAAUAACUCCGCGUGUGCAUUUGACAAGCAAUUUUAUCGUUGCUUCAUAUUUUAUUUCAUUUUAGAAGUGUUUGCGUGGGAGGUUGCCUUGUGCGUAUUUCUCCACGUAUACUUUAUGUGACUAUACGGUGUAUCCGCAUCAAAUGCCAGCCGUGUUUUUCGGCUGACGUGAUUUUGUGUACAUGCUGUAAUCAAUCGACUUCCUUGACUUGCCCAAGUACGGCUUGAAAGUGACAAUAAAAUAGGGGACACCUAUCUCUA